GCUACUUAAGCUGCUGUAGCAACUGAAAUAAAGGAGUCUGUGGCUGCUCGCCUCUGGCCCGCUUUCACCCGACUCCCAGGGUCUGUGUGGUGACUCUGCGCCUCUUGUCCCCACCAUACUCCUCCUCUCAGAACAAAUCAACCUCAACAUCUGGCGCCCAACAUGACAGAGAGAGACAGCGUGUCGGACUUGGCGAGGUCCCCCCUGGAUUUCAGCAAAGAAUGUGGGACAGCCCAUUUGGGUACCAGCCAGAAACAUCAAGCCUGCAACUGACAGCCAACCAGAACCAGCUGAACAAGACUGAGAGUCCACUUUGUUAGAAGAUGCACCUGCCCUAUCAUCCUACCCCGAAAACUGCCCAUAGCCACAUCCGUUACUGUUUUAUACCCCACUAGCUCUGGUCAGCCACUCGAGUGGUCCACAGCCUGUGUGCGGUCAUGCCAUUCCUGAUUACCAUUGUCCCUCAUUCCUACCCCCAUCUGAGCAAGCACUCCUGUGGUCUCCUGCUUUGAGUGCUGGUUAGUCAAUGAUGGGUAAGAUCCUCUGGGGGACAACCUAAGACAGGCACAGCCACAUACGGAGACCACAUGGAAAUGGGGUCAACAAUGGUAUGGCCAAGAAUCAUGCCUCCCACUGCUCAAAAAUAAACUAAAAGGGGGAAAUGUGGUGGAAUGAGAAGGCCAUACCAAGAUGGCCACUGGCAAGCAAGCGUCAGUUACUCAGGAAUGGCUUUGAAACCCACCUGGCAACGGAGCCUGCCUGGCAACAGGCUGUGAUUGGAUGGCUUCAGAAACUGCCUGGCAACAGGCUGUGAUUGGUUAGGGUAUAAACCGCCCCUUGACCGCAUUGGCUGCCUUGGCUAUUUAAGCUGCUGUAGCAACUGAAAUAAAGGAGUCUGCAGGCUGCUCCCCUCUGGCCCGCUUUUACCUGACUCCCAGGGUCUGUGUGGUGACUCUGCGCCUCUUGCCCCCACCAUGCUCCUCCUUCAGCACAAAUCAACCUCAACACAUCCUUCCCAUAGAAUAGGACUCACUAGGAACAGGCUAUGAAUGCAACAGCCCGGAGGGCCCCCAAGGGAAUUAUGCUGAAGGAAAAAUGCAUACAUCAAAAAGCUACAUACAGGUGCUGACAUCGAGCUGCAGUGGGUUGAGCCACCUCCUGCACUGCCAACAGCCCAUAGGAGUGCAAGUUGAGUCCCAGCUGCUCCACUUGUGAUCCAGAAACCUGCUAAUGCACCUGGGACAGCAGUGGAGGAUAGCCCCCCGAAUGCUGGGGCUCCCACCACCUAUGUGGGAGAUCUUGAUGGAGUUCCUGACUCCUGGCUCAGCCUGGCCCAGCCCCAGCUGUUGUGACCAUUUGGGGAACAGACCAGUGCAUGGAAGACUGCCCCCCUCAUUCUUUCCUUCUCUCUCUAUAACUCCACCUUUUUAAAAAAAAAAAAAAAAAGAUUUAUUUUAUUUAUUUGAAAGACUGAGUUACAGAGAGUGGUUGAGACAGAGAGGUCUUCCAUCCACUGGUUCACUCCCCAGAUGGCUGCAACAGCCAGAACUGUGCAGAUCCAAAGCCAGGAGCUUCUUCCAGGUCUUCCACAUGGGUACAGGAGCCCAAAGACUUUGGCCAUCUUCUACUGCCCUCCCAGGCCAUAGCAGAGAGCUGGAUCGGAAGAGGAGCAGCUGGGACUAGAAUCGGCGCCCAUAUGGGAUGCCGGCACUUCAGACCAGGGCUUUAACCCACUGCGCCACAGCACCAGCCCCAAACUCUGCCUUUCAAAUGAAUAAAUAAUUCUGUAAUUAUCACACAGUUAUUCUUAAGUGUUGAAAAUUAACUGAAAUGUGAUCCCUGUUAAACAUAAGAGUGGGAAUAAGAGAGGGAAGAGAUGUAUAAUUUGGGGCAUGCUCGGGCUGACUUGCCCCAAUUGGUAGAGUUGGAAACAUACCAGGGGAUUCCAAUUCAAUCCCAUCAAGGUGGCAUGUGCCAAUGCCAUCUCACUAUUCCAAGUGAUCAAUUUCAGUUCACAAUUGAUCAUAAUGAAAGGACUAAGAGUCAAAGGGAGCACAUAAACAAGUCUAGUAUCUGCUAACACCAACCAAUAGAAUAAAUAAAGGGGAGAGUGAUCCAACAUGGGAAGUGAGAUACUCAGCAGACUCAUAGAAUGGCGGAUGUCCUAAAUAACACUCUGGCCUCAGAAUCAGCCCUAAAGGCACUCGGAUCUGGCUGAAAAGCCCAUGAGAGUAUUUCAGGCAUGGAAAGCCAAGACACUCUGGCAAAAAGAUCUCUGUGAGUGAGAUCCCAGUGGAAAGAACAGGUCUUCAAAGAGGGAGGUGCCUUUCUCUGAAGGGAGGAGAGAACCUCCACUUUGACUAUGACCGUGUCUAAACAAGAUAAGAGUCGGAGAACUCAAGGGGCUUCCAUAGCCUUGGAAACUCAUAACUGGUGCAUAGGGAGAUUACUGAUGCCAUAAACAGGAGUGUCAAUUUGUAAAGUCAACAACAGGAGUCACUGUGCACUUACUCCUCAUGUAGGAUCUCUGUCCUUAACGUGCUGUACACUGAGGCUUAAUGCUAUAACGAGUACUCAAACAGUAUAUUUCACUUUGUGUUUCUAUGGGGGUGCAAACGAUUGAAAUCUUUACUUAAUGUACACUAAACUGAUCUUCUGUAAAAAAAAAAAAAAAAAAAAAAAAAGAAAUUAUCAAUUCCCAACUUGACUCUCACUGGGAUUAAACAUGACAAUAGGUCUGAUCUGAUUU